rnacentral:lncRNA from 1 species
UAUUUAACAAUUAUUCGCCGAAGGCGAGGUGAUUAUCGGGGAAUAAAAACCGAGACGAAGUCGAGGUUUUUAUUCACGAUAAUCACCGAGCCUGAGGUGAAUAAUUGUUUUAGUAUAAUUUCAUAGGUGAUUAUUUGGAAAAAAAUAAGAAAAUACACAUUUCUUCGUCAUUUAAUUGACAAAAAGGCUUUGGCCGCCAUUUUGAAAAUCGCUUAGGUGAUUAUCGCGUAAUAAUCACCUCAACGGCAACCAAUCAGCGUGGAG